AAAGAACCGGUGUCUCUUGUAUCUCCUUGCAUUAGCAGUUAACAGGCUUGGGCUUUGGAGCUUAUGAAGAGAAGCAAAAUAAGCAUUUCAAGAGAUUGAUUUGUGAAGUGAUACCCUUCAGUCACCGCCUGUCUAGCGACACCUGGUCAGUUAGAGCGAAGAAUAGCUUACAUGAAAGCCUUCUGAUUGGGCUGGGGGGAGAAAGUUGCUGUGUGAAUUUCAAAGCCCAGACAAUGUGAAAAAGGAGCAAACACUUGCUGAAGGCAUCAGAGAAGUGACUGCAAUCAAGCAGUGUUGGUUUUGUGACCUUGAAGCUUCCCAGAAUAGCUACCACAUUGGGAAUAAUGGAAGCCCUGGAUUCAGAUGCCUCAGGAUGACCUCAUCACCAACAGCCCCCUUCCUCCUACUGACAUGUCUCCAGGCUCUAUGCCAAUGUUUAGACGUUAGCAGGAAUCCAGAAAAUCAGGCUUUUGUUUUCAAAAACACAAAAUAAAGGCAGCCAUUAUGGAAUAUUGCAUAACUGAUUUAAUCCUAAUGUGAUGUCAAAACAAAUUUCCCCAGUAGUUGAGAGAAUGCUUUAUCUACCACAGAUACAAUGGCUUUGUUGGUGCCGGGUGCUCUUCCAAUAAAUGGUUGGGCACUUCUCUUCAUGAAUUCUCUCAAUUCUCCAUCCCGGGCACAUUUCUGUGGGUAAUUAAAACGGUCUUUUUACAAUGGCAGUAUGAAACAGUAUGCAUCCUCUAAACACACUGAGCUGAAAAAAUAUUGUAUUCAUAAAUUAAAUUGGACAUUUUGAAAGGUUAACGCAAAAAGCUACUUUGCUUUCGGUGAUCAAUAAGGAAAAAAGGAUUUCAGGUAAUUAAAAUCUGUGAAGUGAACAUUUCUCAUUUGGAACCUAUUAAAAAGAAUAUAAGCAGACAGAGGCGAGAGAUAAAUAUGGAAAACAAGGGCUUCAGAAAUUUUGUUACAUGUUGGCAAGGGGAAUGUAACAAUAUAUAUUCUGAGGUCUGAAAUAAUAUAACAUGUUAUUACAGAUAAUAUAACAUUAUAUAGUCUAUAAAUUAUGUAUAUAUAUUACUUAAUUUAAGCAUUAAGUUGCAAUUUAAAAGUAUGCCUACACUGUAUUUUGGACUCUGAUUCAGUUAUUUUUUAGGUUUUUCUUACUCAAGAGUUUGAACUUGGUACCGGUGUAUGGCAUGGGUGUAGAAUUUCAGGUCCAUUCCUGACUUACGAAUCACAACCUACAGCUUAAGGCAUUUCCUAUUUGUGAUUCAUUUGCAUAUCAAAGUUUGAGAGCAGGCCUUUUGGUGGUUGUCCCACUAAGGUGUGUUGCCCUUUAAAAAUUCAUGCUCAUUGUGGUCUUGAUUUGCAUUUCUCUGAUAAUGAGUGAUUUUGAGCAUCUUUUCAUGUGUUUGUU